GCCCGCCUAGCUCAAUCGGAUAGAGCGUCAGACUUUUAAGUCUAAUCAUUAGGCGGUGAUCUGAAGGCUGCGAGUUCGACCCUCGCGGUGGGCU